rnacentral:lncRNA from 1 species
CAUGGAGGCUCCCAGGCUAGGGGUUGAAUCUGAGCUGCAGCUGCCGACCUACGCCACAGCCACAGCAAUGCAGGAUCCGAGCCCCAUCUGUGACCUACACCACAGCUCACGGCAACGCCAUAUCCUUAACCCACUGGUCGAGACCAGGGAUUGAACCUGCAUCCUCUUGGAUACUGGUCAGGUUUGUUAAUUGCUGAGCCAUGAUGGAAACUCCCUUUUUGCCAUCUUUAUUCACUGGAGUAGAGAAUCCCUGUGGCUCAGGUUUACAUAAGUAAAUAUUCAGUAAGUCACGGAACACCUCUGAUCUUGAAGAGGCACACUUACAGUUAAAUGCUAAACCACCUCUAUUUCAAACAGUGCAAACAAUGACAGCCUGACAGCCAGAUGGUUGAAUAAAGCUCACCCACGCACAUUUCAGAGAGCAUGGAAACCACUGUUAAUGAACAGCUAUCUCACUGUGGUUUUGAUUUGUAUUUCCCCAGUGAUUCCUCAUGUUGAGCAUCCUUUCAUAUGCUUUUUGGCCAUUGUUAUGUUAUUCUUUAAAGCACAGUUUAAUGUAAGUGCCCAGCAAGUAAGCAAAUGAAGUGGGUAGAGGGGAAACAACUAGAAUUCUCACAUGGCAGCUGGUGAAAGCAAAUAGCUAUAACUUUUUAGAAAGCAAAGUGUCAGUAUCUAUUAAUAUUUAAAAUAUGCCAUACACCUGAUGCAGCAGUCUCACUUUAGGAAUUUACUCAAUACAAACAAAAGAAUCUUUGUGUGUAUGUGUAUACAUGUGUGUAUAUACGUGUGUAUAUACACAUGUUUAUAUAUACUGUGUGUGUACAUAUGUAUGUGCAUACAUACAUGUGUAUAUAUAUACGUGUGUAUAUACACACAUAUAUAAACCUUAUAGACACAUAUAUACAGAUAUAUAUGUAUAUUGGUUAUAUAUAUUGCUUUUGUUUCAUAUAUAUACACGAAAAAUGCUUAGUGUAAUAGCAAAAUUUCUGGAAGCAAAGUGAAUGUUCAUCAGUGGUGCAAAAGUCAAACUAUAUAAUCCAUAUUAUAGAUAUUAUGCUGCUUUAAAAUAAUGAAUUUCAUAUAUAUGUACUGACCUAAGUACAAAUUAAUGACAUAUUAUUAGAUUAAAGAAAGGUUGGGUAUGCAGAUCUAAU